UACGAAGGGGGCUAGCGUUGCUCGGAAUUACUGGGCGUAAAGCGCACGUAGGCGGCUUUCUAAGUCGGGGGUGAAAUCCUGGAGCUCAACUCCAGAACUGCCUUCGAUACUGGAAAGCUCGAGUCCGGGAGAGGUGAGUGGAACUGCGAGUGUAGAGGUGAAAUUCGUAGAUAUUCGCAAGAACACCAGUGGCGAAGGCGGCUCACUGCCCGGUACUGACGCUGAGGUGGCGAAAAGC
rnacentral:rRNA from 1 species